UACGUAGGGUGCGAGCGUUGUCCGGAAUUAUUGGGCGUAAAGGGCUCGUAGGCGGUUUGUCGCGUCGGGAGUGAAAACUCAGGGCUUAACCCUGAGCCUGCUUCCGAUACGGGCAGACUAGAGGUAUGCAGGGGAGAACGGAAUUCCUGGUGUAGCGGUGAAAUGCGCAGAUAUCAGGAGGAACACCGGUGGCGAAGGCGGAUCUCUGGGCCUUACCUGACGCUCAGGCGCGAAAGCUAGGGGAGCGAACAGG
rnacentral:rRNA from 1 species